rnacentral:lncRNA from 1 species
AUUCCUGACAUAAUUGAUGAUGAUCUUGACAAACUGGUCGAACAAAUGCACGAUGAGUUUUCAUUGUUGGAGCCUCAUGUGAAAUUGAUGGUUAGAAUGGAGCAUGAGUUGACGUUCCACUCCGGAGAAGUCAUAAACUGUGUAAAGAAGUGGAAGGUCAGUUCCUAGAUUUACUUGCCAAUGCAAAAGACAUGCCAUUUUUCGCUUUUGGUCCAUUUCAUAUGUUGCUAGAAUUGUAUGAAUCUCUCUCUUCUUGGUCUAGCAACAUGAAUCGUGAUGAAUACCUUGAAUUUCUCGACAAGCAAGAUGUUAACUCAGUAAUAUUCAUCUCGUUUGGAUCGACUAAUACAUUAUCACAAGAGCACGUCAAUGAGCUAGCUCUGGGUUUGGAACAAAGCAACUAUAAAUUUAUUUGGGUACUAAGAAAAGGAGAUGUUAUGGGGAAACUUACAGGGAAAAUCCAAAAUCGGACAGAUUGAAAUACCAGAAGGGUUUGAAGAGAGAGUGGAAGGAAGAGGAAUGAUGGUAAAUUGGGCACCACAGUUGGAAAUCUUGAGGCAUUCAUCUACGGGUGUUUUUUUGAGUCAUUGUGAGAGGAAUUCAUGUAUCGAGAGCAUUAGCAUGGGAGUGCCUCUAGCAACUUGGCCAAUCAGUUAUGAUCAGCCAUCUAAAGCUAUAUAUGUAACCAAAUUGCUGAAGAUUGGAAUACCUGUCAGGAGUUGGGCUCAACGGGAGGAAUUGAUAACAGCAUCAACCAUUGAGAAAGCAGUGAAGACAUUGAUGGGCAUGGCAGAAGGAGAAAAGAUGAGGCAAAGGGCAGUGGAAUUGAGAAAAAUGAUCAAGAGCUCUGUUAGUCAUGGAGGACCUGCACGCAAGGAAAUGGAAUCAUUCACUUCAAAUAUUAUCAAAUAACCUCCUCUGUGUGUGUUGGGGGGAGGGAGUUGUCUUUUAUGAUAUUGUAGUAUUGUAUCCCUAAAAUCAGUGAAGGUAGGUUGCAUGUCCUUCCUGAUUUGUUGUCUCUAAGUUUCUAUUAUCCCCCCUCAGAAUAAACUUGAUAGAAAAAGCCUCUAGUCUUAUAUGGCUAAUAAGAGUGUAUCAGAUAUGUUCUACAUUUGAGAAUUUCUACUAGCUCUUUACUUCUCAUAAUCUUCAUAUCCUUAUAUUGAAAUUGGACAGUUUAAGAACAUCAUCUAGCGGGAUCAAUUCUGUGUUGGACUCAUUCCAAGAAGUUGGACAACCUAUUGAUCAAUUACGUCAUGUCCGAAGAGAUUUUUUGGUGGCUAGGGAACAAGGAGAUUGAUGAAUUAAAGACAUUAGAUAUCAUAUUAUGGAACUCAAGAAAUUCACCAAAAAAUUUUAGAAUUUUGGCGCAUGAGAUAGGUCCAAGAGAACUUGGUAUAGUCAUCCAUAAACAACACAUAAUAACGAUAACCAGAAUUGGACAUAGUAGGGGAUGUCCAAACAUCAGAGUAAAUUAAAAAGAAAGCUUUAUUUCUGGAUCGUGGAGUCAUAUAUGUUCCACUGCAUCUCAGCUUUUGCAAGAUACUCUAUGCUCCGACAAAGUAUUGAUGACAUAGUUGAUGAUAAUGAUCGUGACAAAAUGGUCCAGCAAAUGCUGUUAAGGACCAAUUGAAACAACGUUUGUAGAAAGGAACAUGAAUGGCAGAUCAACUCUUGAGAAAUCGUGAACACCUGUAGAGAAAUCAAAGGUAAGUACCUAGAUUUACAUGCACAUACAAAUGACAAGAAGCAAUGGUGGACUGUUGGUCCACUUCAUAUGCUGCUGCUAGAAUUACAUGACUCUAGCACCUGGAUGACGCAUGAAUGCGUAGGAUUUCUCGACAAGCAAGACACUAAUUCAGUAAU